CAGUGGAUGAUGUCAUCGGUCGGUAUUGCAACCCCGCUAUAUUGGGAAAAGGGAAACGUGUGUUUUCUUCAUCGUUUUAUCGCCUGGAAGUACCCCAUAGGUGAAUAGAGGCUGCUGCAGCCAAUGGAAACUGGAUACUUCAAGGAGCUAGUCACAUCCAAGAGGAAUCUGGGGGAGCAGAGCGUAGGCAGAAAGGAGAAGUGCAACAUCCAACCAGACCACUCACUUUGAGGGGGACGCUCUCAGGUUACAAAAAAAGCUCAACAUGGAUCAGCUGAAAGUGCACAGGCAGACGUCCGCUCUCUUGCGGACAGCGAGUAAGCACUCUGAGGCGGGCAGGCCAGUGGGAAGCACCGGUCUCUGGCUGGUUCUCUUUUCUUCCCUUUGCUUCCCAGGCUCCCGCCCCGCAACUUCCACGCGACACUUCUUCAUAAAAGUGACACUAAAUACUCAAAGUACUCGUCAAAUAAAGUUUCCAUAACUGGUUUGUUAUUUCAGGGAGUGAUAAUAUAUUUCCAAUUCUCUAUUUUCCAUGUGUAAGAUGGGUUUUUUAUAUAUAUAUUUUUUUAUGUUGUUAUUUGACACUACAAACACACAGCUUUU